UCCAGAGGCGGUACUUGAAAAAUUAGAGAACCACCAUAUGUCCAAAGUCUUCUCUGAUGUUAUGUUAUGUGUCGUAUGUGUGUUUACACUAAGUACUUGAAUGGUGCAUGUCCUUUGAUGUCUCAGUGUUUGGAAUCACUUGGUGAGGGACAGUGUUAGCUGUAUCUGUGGGUGGUCAAUUAGUCAACUGCUCUAAUCUUGAGGGCAUGUUUCUAGAUUAGACCCAGCAUUAUUCUGGGGCACCUAGGUAAGCUGCACUACUAUUGUCAUAUGUAAAUGUUAUUGUUAUGUUAUAGAAUAACUAUGGUAUUAGUCAGAACUGCUUACUGAAUUCUUAUGUGACCUUGGUGCUUGGUUGAAGCAGUUAUCCAAUUUUCAGAAAACUAUCAGUAUUGCAAUACCUAUUUCCAGUGUGAAUCAUUGGGCAGGUGUAUUCACUAAUUUAAGCCUCUUAGAAGGUCCGGUUUGGAACGCGAGAAUUUUUCUGGGUUCCAGAUUGAAUUAUUUCCUGCGAAAUUCUUCUUGUCCCAAACAUGCCCUAAAAGUUUAUUCAUCCACUUCUUCUGUCAGCCAUCUGUAAAGAUGGUGGAUUUGACAACCUACUGAAAGUGGUAUUGUCAAACCGGGUUUCAUAAUGAAAGAAAGUUGUCACUUAAUCUCUAAGUGUUUCUCUUAUGGGUAUUCUCACAUUUGAGAAUCUUGGAAUAAGGUUUUCUAAGUAUGGUACCCUCUAGUUAUGGUCGGUAUGAUGAGAAGGAUGGCUAGUUAGUCCAUGUCAUUUCCGAAGACACUUUUCUGAAUACAAUAGUCAAAAAUAUACAAACAUGUGCUGGUUACAUUUUGCGCAAUCACCUACCGUUACCAUACCCCUUGUAUGUAUUCUGUGACAUCCUAUUGAGCACAUGCUGAUUCUUUAUUCUUGAUUUGCCUUAGAAACUAAGGAUCAUGUGUUAAUCAGCAAACAAAGCAUGCCACCUAUCUUUUUUUUUCGAUAAGGGGGGACUCCCCGGCCUCUGCAUCAGAACGAUGCAUACGGCCACCUCAAUAAAUAAAAUAGGUUCAACAAAGUCGUAUAGUCUUCAACAAAAUAAAAGCAAGCUCACCUAGAACCUCGAAGCUAAACCAAGAAAAAA
rnacentral:lncRNA from 1 species